UACGUAGGCAGCAAGCGUUGUUCGGAGUUACUGGGCGUAAAGAGUGCGUAGGCGGUUUCGUAAGUUUGGUGUGAAAUCUCCCGGCUUAACUGGGAGGGUGCGCCGAAAACUGCGGGGCUGGAGUGUGGGAGAGGUAAGCGGAAUUCCUGGUGUAGCGGUGAAAUGCGUAGAUAUCAGGAGGAACACCGGUGGUGUAGACGGCUUUCUGGACCGUAACUGACGCUGAGACACGAAAGCGUGGGUAGCAAACAGG
rnacentral:rRNA from 1 species